UACAUAGGCAGCAAGCGUUGUUCGGAAUUACUGGGCGUAAAGAGUGUGUAGGCGGUGCUCUAAGUUCGGUGUGAAAUCUCCCGGCUCAACUGGGAGGGUGCGCCGGAAACUGGGGUGCUGGAGCGCGGGAGAGGAAAGCGGAAUUCCUGGUGUAGCGGUGAAAUGCGUAGAUAUCAGGAGGAACACGGCGGUGUAGACGGCUUCUGGACCGUAGCUGACGCUGAGACACGAAAGC
rnacentral:rRNA from 1 species